ensembl:lncRNA
CGUACAGCUCAUGGCACCCAGCUCUCUGCUUUUACAGAUCAGGAAACCGUGGCCCAGAGAGGUUGAGUGACUUCCCCCAGAUCACACAGAGAAAAAAAGAAAUAGAACUCAAGCCCCAGUGUCUGAUCUCUUUCUCUCCUCCCUUGGGACUCAGGGAAUCACAGUUCUAAUUUUGCUCCUCCCACGGGGAGCCUCGGUUUCCCCCUUCUGGCUGGUGAGGUCAGUCUUUGCCUCUCCCCACACCUUUGUCCUAGGUGUGCUAUGAACUCUAAUGAGUUAACAUGUCUCAGAGCCUACGGAACCUCGCAGGAGAUAUAAUUACAGAGAAUUAGCCUCCACGGUCUUCUGGGAAGGAUUUCGGCGGGGAGUAGGAGGACACCGCCCUAACUGCUAAGCCCAGCGAUCCACAGGCUGUUGUGGGAUUGUUGCACUAAACUGUCACUUCCUCCUCUUGUGACCUUGGGUGACCACCCCCAGGAGGACUCGCACUGGCUGUGAUAUGGUCCAAUAGCAAUCACAGCAGAGCUGCUUUGAUGGAAAACACCCGGGAUCUUGGCUGCCUGGGUUACCCAGAGUGACUGGAGGAGGAGUGGAGGAACAAAGUAAGGAAAACACACUGCUGGAGCUCAACAGCUGCUUAUGUGUGGCAGGUGUGCCUCAAUUCUAAGUCCUCAUCGCCUGGGGACACGGGUCAUGGGUUAUAAAACCCUUUCAAAGCCCUGCAUUAUCUCAGAGGGUUCUCCUAACCAGAGCCGGGGACCUGGAUCCUAGGUUGAAGGAUGAAGACUGUGUACCUAGGAACACACAGCAGGCCUCAGGGCUCCAAAGCCAGGGCUCAUUUCCACCCUGUGUCCCCUAAGUUCGGGUUUCUCCACAUCCCAGGCACCAUUCCCUGACCACCCAGCCCCAGAUGUGCUAGGCGGAGGCAGGGGCUUUAGAGGAAGAUGCCCCAAAACGGAGAGCUUGGAGCCAGACGCAGCAGGGAGACGGGAUGGAAAACCGCGAGCAAAGUUCUGGGAGAAGGGGCUACGGCAAAGACGAAGGAAAAGGAGAGGCGGACGGAGGGAGUCAGGAAAAAGGAAACAGAUGAUGAAAGCGAGAGCCCGAGGGAGCGCGGGAGCCUGCUCUGGGGCGCGGGGUACAAGGCGCCGGGCGCGGGGCAGCCAGAGGCGCCCAAGCCUAGUUCCCCGCUGCGCCCCACCCGACCCAAAGGGGAGCGCCCCACCGACCGAUUUGACUUGCACAAAACCCGCGCCCCAGGGGCCUUUGCCAGGCCGCUGGGGCUUGAUUCAUUUCUUGACUAAUUAACUGGAAGCUACGUUGCCCCUUCUUUCAGGGCCCAAUUAAUUCGCCGCGGGCGGUGGGGCGGGGGCCGUGCGGCCGAGGCGCCCGCCUGGAGUCCCUUUGUGAAGGGCUGUCUGGCCCAUAUUGAUUCUAC